rnacentral:rRNA from 1 species
UACAGAGGGUGCGAGCGUUAAUCGGAAUUACUGGGCGUAAAGCGCGCGUAGGCGGCUUGCAAGUCGGGUGUGAAAUCCCCAAGGCUUAACCUGGGACUGACAUUCGAGACUGCAUUGCUAGAGUAUGGGAGAGGGAAGUGGAAGUUUCCGGUGUAGCGGGUGAAAUGCGUAGGAGGAAUGUGGAGGAACACCGAUGGGCGAAGGGCAGCCCCCCUGGGGCCAAUGACUGACGCUCGAUGCACGAAAGCGUGGGGAGCAAACAAGG